GCGCAGCAGGCGCGAAACUUUACAAUGUGCGAAAGCACGAUAAGGGAACUCUGAGUGCCUCCUAAGGAGGCUGUUCAGGUGUCUAAAAGCACCUGGAGUAAGGGCUGGGUAAGACCGGUGCCAGCCGCCGCGGUAACACCGGCAGCCCAGGUGGUAGCCACUUUUAUUGGGUCUAAAGCGUCCGUAGCCGGUUGAGUAAGUUCCUUGGGAAAUUUGGCUGCUCAACAGUCAAGCUUCCAGGGAAUACUGCUCGACUUGGGACUGGGAGAGGUCAGAGGUACUCCAGGGGUAGGGUGAAAUCCAUUAAUCCCUGGGGGACCACCGGUAGCGAAGGCGUUUGACCAGACCAGGUCCGACGGUGAGGGACGAAGGCUAGGGUCGCGAACCGGAUUAGAUACCCCUGUAGU
rnacentral:rRNA from 1 species